rnacentral:rRNA from 1 species
AGCAGCCGCGGUAAUUCCAGCUCCAAUAGCGUAUAUUAAAGUUGUUGCAGUUAAAAAGCUCGUAGUUGAAUUUCAGGCCUGGCUGGACGGUCCGCCCUUCGGGUGAGUACUGUCUGUGGUCGGGUCCUACCUUUUGGCGAAGCGUCAUGGCCUUAACCGGCCGUGGCGGGGAACCAGGACUUUUACUGUGAAAAAAUUAGAGUGUUCAAAGCAGGCAAUCGCUUGGAUACAUUAGCAUGGAAUAAUGGAAUAGGACAAUGGUUCUAUUUGUUGGUUUCUAGGACCGUUGUAAUGAUUAAUAGGGAUAGUUGGGGGCAUUAGUAUUCAAUUGUCAGAGGUGAAAUUCUUGGAUUUAUUGAAGACUAACUACUGCGAAAGCAAUUUGCCAAGGAUGUUUUCAUUAACCAAGAACGAAAGUUAGGGGAUCGAAGACGAUCAGAUACCGUCGUAGUCUUAACCAUAAACUAUGCCGACUAGGAAUCGGGCGAUGUUGACAAAAUGACGCGCUCGGCACCUCAUGG